GGCCACCAGUGGAACAAAAUGGUUAGAUCAUUGACUGUGUCUUUUUGCUCUAGUAAGAGUUUUAAUCAAACCUUUUGCUAUCUUCCAAAACCAAAUGGUAUUCAUUACUGCCAAUAUGGGAGCCACUGAAAGUAUGCUAUAGAAGCCCAAAGGAAAUAUCUUUUUCACCUGAUCAAAGUGGAUGAACAUGUGAGUGAAGAAGUAAAUGAACAGAAGAAUCCUUGCAAGCAACCACCCAAGGAACAAUAGGACUCCAUUGCAAACGUACAUUUUAGAGCUCUUCCUACCAGCAACAUCCAAGUACCAUCUUAAAUUUACAAAAGGAGUAGUGGCCUCAGAGAAGAGAACCAUCAGUAUGUACAUCUGUCCUUGACCACUU
rnacentral:misc_RNA from 1 species